CAAGAUGCCAUGAACGAGGAAGAGGAAGAGAAAGAAGACGAAAACAAAGAGCGUACUCAGACUGGCAGUUUUAACUUGGCGGGCAGUUUGAACCGACAUGGCACAUGGAGUAGCUGUUCCUCUUUUUGUGUUGGGAGUCUUUUUAAAAGGUCUAACAGCUCUGAUACAGACACAGCAGACUGUGGUGGCAGCAGUGGGAGAAGAGGCUCAUUUAACCUGUCAGCUCACACAGUCUAAAGACGUUGUUCAGGUCACAUGGCAGAAAACUGUACAGGACGGGGAGAUUAAUUUUGCCACCUACAACAAAAUCUUUGGUCCAAAAGUGAAUCCUAACUUCACAGACAGAGUGGAGAUUAAAGAUGGUGAACUGCAGAACAGCUCCAUAGUUAUCAGGGAGCUGAUGGAGCAGGAUGAAGGCUGCUAUCUCUGUCUGUUUAACUGCUACCCUGAUGGAGCUCUCACUGGUAGAACCUGCCUCCAACUCUAUGAGCUGCAUGAACCCAUUCUCCAUGUGAGAGAAUCAGACUCUGCUGAAGAGUCAGUUGUGUCCUGCUCGGCCACAGGACGACCUGCUCCAACAGUAACACUGACUGUCACACAACUACACCUCUCACACCACAACACUGUCAGAGUCAACAACACCAACGGUACAGUCACUGUCACCACCACAGCUGAGCUGGCACGUUCCCGUGACAACAGUGCACAGGUUGGAUGUGCAGUGCGAGUGCUCUCUGUUCAGAAAGAGGUGUUUCUGAUGAUUCCUGAGCUCAAACAGACGUCUGCUGAUGGUUCUGAUCAGAAAUCUGGAUCUGAUCACAGAAACUACAUUGGGACUAUAAUUGUGGCAGUGGUCUGUGUUGCUGCAGUCAUCACCAUCACUGUCUGGUGUAAACAGAACCAGAAGAACAGUCUGUCACACAGCAACAUUGAGAUGAGUGAGACGAAUCAACCUACAAUCAGCAUCACUGAUGUGCCCCAAACACCUCCAGUCUCACAGGAGAACAGUGAGAUCAGAAAACGGACACCACCUGAGAACAGCCCCAUGUUGUCACCUUGAAUAAUAAGACUGAACUGAACUCUUAAGAAAAACACAACAACUCGUAUCACAGCCAGUGAGACCUCAACAAAACUCUAUCAAAGCUUGAGAGACAAUACACAACAGAAGUUAUCUCAAGGCACUGUACAUAUAGAGCAGGUCUAGACCGUACUCUUUAUCUUAUAAAAAGACAAGAUAUCAGUACAAUGAAAAAGUGGAACGUUUACACUUAAAUCUCCAAACAACACUCACAUCUCACUGUAACUGUUCAACAAGUCUGUCCCAGUUUGAUGAAGAUGAUUCCAGUGUUUGAUAAAGAAUAAUGUGCACUGUAGUUUUGAUGUUGAUGUGUUUGUGGUUUUUUAUCUGUUACCGUGUUUUUUUUUAUAACACUUGAAUUUUUUAUGUGUUUUCAUGUUUUUUAUUUUAGAGGAGUUGAUGAAAAACAAUUUGUAAAAGAUACUGUAUUUUUUAAAAAGUGUUUCUUAAAUUAAAUCUUUUUCACUUUA